UACGUAGGGGGCGAGCGUUGUCCGGAAUCAUUGGGCGUAAAGCGCGUGUAGGCGGCCCGGUAAGUCCGCUGUGAAAGUCCAGGGCUCAACCCUGGGAUGCCGGUGGAUACUGUCGGGCUCGAGUCCGGAAGAGGCGAGUGGAAUUCCUGGUGUAGCGGUGAAAUGCGCAGAUAAUCAGGAAGAACACCCGUGGCUAAGGGCGGC
rnacentral:rRNA from 1 species